UACAUGGGGUGCAAACGUUGCUCGGAAUUAUUGGGCGUAAAGCGCACGUAGGCGGUUCGUUAUGUCGGAUGUGAAAGCCCUUGGCUUAACCGAGGAAGUGCAUCCGAAACUGGCGAGCUAGAGUACGAAAGAGGAUCGCGGAAUUCCCGGUGUAGAGGUGAAAAUUCGUAGAUAUCGGGAGGAACACCGAUGGCGAAGGCAGGUCACUGGGCCGCAACUGACGCUGAGGAGCGAAAGCAUGGGGAGCGAACAGG
rnacentral:rRNA from 1 species